ACUACGGGUGGCAGCAGUGAGGAAUAUUGGUCAAUGGGCGGAAGCCUGAACCAGCCAAGUAGCGUGCAGGAUGACGGCCCUACGGGUUGUAAACUGCUUUUAUACGGGAAUAACGCGCCUUACGUGUAGGGCUUUGCAUGUACCGUAUGAAUAAGGACCGGCUAAUUCCGUGCCAGCAGCCGCGGUAAUACGGAAGGUCCGGGCGUUAUCCGGAUUUAUUGGGUUUAAAGGGAGCGUAGGCCGCAUGUCAGGCGUUCUGUGAAAUGUCCGGGCUCAACCCGGGCCUUGCAGCGCGAACUGGCGUGCUUGAGUCCGCGGAAAGCAGGCGGAAUUCGUCGUGUAGCGGUGAAAUGCUUAGAUAUGACGAAGAACCCCGAUUGCGAAGGUAGCUUGCUGCAGCGGAACUGACGCUGAUGCUCGAAAGCGCGGGUAUCGAACAGGAUUAGAUACCAGUAGUC
rnacentral:rRNA from 1 species